GCCAGCAUAGCUCAGUUGGUAGAGCAACGGUUUUGUAAACCGUCGGUCGCGGGUUCGAGUCCCUCUGCUGGCUCCA
rnacentral:tRNA from 1 species